GUCCACGCCGUAAACGAUGAGAACUAGAUGUUAGGAAGCUUAGACUUUUUAGUAUCGCAGCAAACGCGUUAAGUUCUCCGCCUGGGGAGUACGGCCGCAAGGUUAAAACUCAAAGGAAUUGACGGGGGCCCGCACAAGCGGUGGAGCAUGUGGUUUAAUUCGAUGCAACGCGAAGAACCUUACCUACUUUUGAAUCCACGGAAUUUUGCAGAAAUGUGAAAGUGCCUUCGGGAACCGUGAGACAGGUGCUGCAUGGCUGUCGU
rnacentral:rRNA from 1 species